rnacentral:snRNA from 1 species
CUUCAAAGAGAAGUGUAG